CCUGUGAAGACCAGAUAACAGCAUUAAUGUAGGUUGACAAUAAGAGAACGGAUGGAGUCAGCGAGACCCCAGACCCCACUGCCCAGACCUCCUGACUUACACUCACACCAAUGAGUCUGUCAGGAGAAAGCUGAACAAAUGAACUGCUCUUUAUUCCUAGGUCACUCUCAAAGGUUAGACAACUGAAGAUCACUUGCUCAAAAGAAGAUAGAAAUUAACUCUUACACCUUUUAUCUUUAUUUUGCAGAGUUUUUUUUCUUAUAGAAUUUUUGAGGUCCAAUACAAAACUAAUUAAUUCCUUCAGGAGUUUUAUGGCACAUAGGUGGCUUUUAGAGAUCGAAUUUUCCUCCCCUCCAGAAGACCAGAAUAAAAAUAAAAUUGACCCUCGUGAUCCCAGGAAGUUAUGAUCUAUACAAUCAUCACAACAAUGAAUUCGUGAUCACCAAGCCACUACCCCCAGGGAAUUUUAGUUUUCCUUGGAACUGCAUAGUCUGGUGUUUUAAAGAGACAGAAAGACGACAUGCUGUUCACAGAGCCGACUCAAGUGUGUGAAGGAGGACAGGAGCACACAUCUACCCAAGUGUUUGCUGGCCUACCCAGCCAUCGGCCAUUUUCUGCAGGAGUUUCCUGGAACUUAGUCCUGAGAGCGAUCAAGCUUUACCUUUACUCUGCAAAUCAGCACUCCUCUCCUUUAAUAAGAAGACAAGGACGGCUUGAUUUUUAUUACUCUAGAAUAUACAGUGUAUGUUUAAACGCUGCAUAGAGCUUGGGCAUUUGUGAUAAGAUAAUA
rnacentral:sRNA from 1 species